rnacentral:tRNA from 1 species
GCGAGGGUGGCGGAAUGGCAGACGCGCUGGAUUUAGGAUCCAGUGGGGCAACCCGUGGGGGUUCGACUCCCCCUCCUCGCACCA